UCAGGAUGAACGCUGGCGGCGUGCCUAACACAUGCAAGUCGAACGGAAGCUUAACGCUGACGAGACUUCGGUCAAAUCUUGUUAAGCUUAGUGGCGGACGGGUGAGUAACGCGUGGGCAACCUGCCUCAUACUGGGGGAUAACAGUUGGAAACGACUGUUAAUACCGCAUAAGCGCACAGAGUCGCAUGACUCAGUGUGAAAAACUCCGGUGGUAUGAGAUGGGCCCGCGUCAGAUUAGCCAGUUGGCGGGUAACGGCCCACCAAAGCGACGAUCUGUAGCCGGACUGAGAGGUCGGACGGCCACAUUGGGACUGAGACACGGCCCAAACUCCUACGGGAGGCAGCAGUGGGGGAUAUUGCACAAUGGAGGAAACUCUGAUGCAGCGACGCCGCGUGAGUGAAGAAGUAUUUCGGUAUGUAAAGCUCUAUCAGCAGGGAAGAAAGGCUCGUAAGAGAGAUGACGGUACCUGACUAAGAAGCCCCGGCUAACUACGUGCCAGCCGCCGC
rnacentral:rRNA from 1 species